UGGAUAGAAAGGGGCUACUGCAGCUCUUUUACAACUCCUAGGGAUUUUGGAAAGAAAGGACAAGAAAAACAGCUAAGAUGAUGAAAUUGAUGUCAGGAAAAUUGGAAUGAUCA